UGGGUGCCAUAUGAGUGUGG
rnacentral:misc_RNA from 1 species